rnacentral:rRNA from 1 species
CCUACGGGUGGCAGCAGUGAGGAAUAUUGGUCAAUGGGCGCAAUCCUGAACCAGCCAUGCCGCGUGCAGGAAGACGGCUCUACGAGUUGUAAACUGCUUUUGUACGGGGGUAAACUGCGCUACGUGUAGCUGUCUGAAAGUACCGUACGAAUAAGGAUCGGCUAACUCCGUGCCAGCAGCCGCGGUAAUACGGAGGAUUCAAGCGUUAUCCGGAUUUAUUGGGUUUAAGGGUGCGUUGGUGGUUUUAUAAGUUAGCGGUGAAAUACCGAGGCUCAACAUCGGGGCUGCCGCUGAUACUGUAGGACUAGAGAGCAGAUGCAGUAGGCGGAAUGUGUGGUGUAGCGGUGAAAUGCAUAGAUAUUACACAGAACACCGAUUGCGAAGGCAGCUUGCCAGGCCGCAUCUGACGCUGAUGCACGAAAGCGUGGGGAUCGAACAGGAUUAGAUACCCGUGUAGUC